AUAAAACAGCCAUGGUGAAACUACCGAAUCAACCACUUGAUGAUGACAAACUAUGUUUGGGUCAAUUUCGGGUACAUCAACCGGUUUUCAAGAAAAUAGGUCUUUGUUAUUUCUUAAUAUUCUGAUGAUCCCGACUUCCUUCUCUGAAGAAAAAUUAAAUCCAAUUUGAUUUGUCUGUGGUGCCUGAAUUACAACCUGUAUCUUCUUUAUAUCCUCAACAUGCGUCAAAC
rnacentral:lncRNA from 1 species